GACUGCUGAAGGUUGGGGUGUCUGUGGUAAUUUCUUAAAGUAAGACAAUAAUGUUUGCCACAUUGAUUGACUCUUUCUUUCAUGAACCAUUUCUCUGUAGCAUACAAUACUGUUUGAUAGUGUACCAUCCAUAGUAGAACUUCUUUCAAAAUCAGAGCCAAUUUCCUCAAUCCUUGCCACUGCUUUAUCAAUUAUGUUAAUGGAAUAUUCUAAAUCCUUUGUUAUCAUUUCAAUAAUGUUCACAGCAUCUUCACCAGGAGUAUAUUCUAUCUCAAGAAACCACUUUCUUUGCUCAUCCAUAAGAAGCAACUCCUCAUCUGUUUAAGUUUUAUCAUGAGAUCAUGGCAAUUCAGUCAUAUCUUCAGGCUUCACUUGUAAUUAUAGUUGUCUUGCUAUUUCCACGACGUCUGCAGUUACUUCCUCCACUGAAGUCGUGAGUCUCUCAAAGUCAUCUGAGUGUUGGAAUCAGCUUCCUCCAAACUCCUGUUAAUGUUGAUAUUUUGACCUCCUCUGAUGGAUCUCGAGUGUUCAUAAUAACAUCGAGAAUGAUGAAGCCCUUCCAGAAGGUUUUCAAUUUACUUUGCCCAGAUCCAUCAGAUGAAUCACUAUCUGUGACGGUAUGAAAUGUAUUUCUUAAAUAAUAAAACUUGAAAGUCCAAACUACUCCUUGAUUCAUGGGCUGCAGAAUGGAUGUUGUGUUAGCAGUCAUGAAAACAGUGUUAAUCUUCUUGAAUAUUUCCAUCAGAGCUCUUGGGUAACCAGGUGCAUUGUUAAUGGGCAAUAAUAUUUUGAAAGGAACAGUCCCAACAGUGAGCUUAAAAUAUUCAGUAAAUCCUACUGUAAGCAGAUGUUCUAUCCAUAGAGCACAGACAGAGUAGGUUUGACAUAUAUCUUAAGGGUCCUAGGAUUUUCAGAAUGGCAAAUGAGCAUUGACUUCAGCUGAAAGUCACCUAACAGGAGAGUCAAUCUGUCCUUUGAAGCUUUGAAGCUUGGCAUUGAUUUCUCUCUAGCUAUGAAAUCCUAGCUAUGAAAUCUUCUUCCAAAAUAAGGCUGUUUUAUCUACAUUAAAAUUUUGUUACUUAGUGUAGUCACCUUUUAAUUUUCUAGCUAGAUCUGGCUAACUUGCUGCACCUUCUACAUCAGUACUUGCUACUUCACCUUGCACAUUUCCCACAUUUUAGGUUCAGGGGGUACAUGUGCAGGUUAGUUACAUGGUAAAUUGCAUGUUGUGGGAGUUUGGUGUGCAAAUCAUUUUGUCACCCAAGUAAUGCGCCUACCCAACAGGUAGGUUAUUGAUCCUCACUCUCCUGCCAUUCUCCACCCUCAAGUAGGCCCCAGUGUCCAUUAUUGCCUUCUUUGUGUCCAUGUGUACUCAAUGUUUAGCUCCCACUUAUAAGAGAGAAUAUGUGGUAUUUGGUUUUCUGUUACUUCAUUAAUUUGCUUAGGACAAUGGCCUCCAGUUCUAUCCAUGUUGCUGCGAAGGACAUGAUGUCAUUCUUUUUUAUGGCCGUGUCGUCCAUAGUGACUGAACUAAUUUACAUUCCCAGCAGCAAUGUGUAAGCAUUUCUUUUUCUUUGCAACCUUGCCAGUUUCUGUUUUUUGUUUGUUUGUUUGUUUGUUUUUGAGAUGCAGUCUUGCUCUGUCGCCCAGGCUGGAGUGCAGUGGCACGAUCUCGGCUCACUGCAAGCUCCGCCUCCUGGGUUCAUGCCUUUCUCCUGCCUCAGCCUCCCAAGUAGCUGGGACUACAGGCACCUGCCACCACGCCUGGCUAAGUUUUUGUAUCUUCAGGAGAGACAGGGUUUCACCAUGUUAGCCAGGAUGGUCUCGAUCUCCUGACCUCGUGAUCUGCCCGCCUCGGCCUCCCAAAGUGCUGGGAUUACAGGCGUAAGCCACCGUGCCCAGCCUCAGUUUCUGUUAUUUUUUGAAUUUUUAAUAAUAGCCAUUCUUACUGGUGUGAGACGGUAUUUCAUUGUGGUUUUGAUUUGCAUUCCUCUAAUGUUUAGUAAUGUUGAGAAUUGUUUCAUCUGUUUGUUGGCUAUGUGUAUGUCUUUUGAGAAAUGUCUACUUAUGUCCUUUGCCUUUUUCCUUUUUUUUUUUUUUUUUUUUUUGAGACGGAGUUUCACUCUUGUUGCCCAGGCUGAAGGAGUACAAUGGCGUGAUCUUGGCUCACCACAACCUCUGCCUCCUGGGUUCCAGCGAUUCUCCUGCCUCAGCCUCCCGAGGAUCUGGGACUAUAGGCAUGCACCACCACGCCCAGCUAAUUUUUGUUUUUAUAGUAGAGAUGGGGUGUCUCCAUAUUGGUAAGGCUGGUCUUGAAUUCCCAACCUCAGGUAAUCUGCCUGCCUCGGCCUCCCAAAGUGCUAGGAUUACAGGCAUGAGCCACCACACCCAGCCCCUUUGCCUAUUUUUAAUGGAAUUGUUUGCUUUUUUCUUGCUAAUUUAUGUUCCUUACAGAUUCUGGGUGUUAGGGCUUUGUUGAAGGCAUAGUUUGCAAAUAUUUUCUACCAUUCUGUAGGUUGUCUCUUUACUCUGUUGCUUUGAAGAAGCCCUUUAGUUUAGUUAGAUCCCAUUUGUCAAUUUUUAUUUUUGUUGUAUUUGCUUUUGGAGCCUUUGUCAUGAAAUUUUUGUCAGGGCUUAUGUCCAGAAUGGUAUUUCCUAGGUUUUCUUCGAGGGUUUUAUAGUUUCAGUUUUUACAUGUAAGUCUUUAAUUCAUCUUCAGUUGAUUUUUGUGCAUAGUAGAAUGAGGUGUCCAGUUUUCAAUUUUCAAACAUAUGUCUAGCCAGUUAUUCCAGCACCUUUUAUUGAAUAGGGUGUCCUUUCCCCAUUGCUUUUUUGUCAACUUUGUCAAAGAUCAAAUAUCUGUAGGUGUGCACUUUAUUUAUGGGUUCUCUAAUCUGUUCCAUUGGUCUGUGUUUUUGUAUCAGUACCAUGCUGUUUUGGUUACUGUAGCCUUGUAGCAUGGUUUGAAGUUGGGUAAUGAUGCUUCCAGCUCUGCUCUUUUUGCUUAGAAUUGUUUCGGCUAUUCAGGCUCUUUUUUGGUUCCAUAUACAUUUUAAAAUAGUUUUUAAAAAAUUCUGUGAAAAAUGUCAUUGGUAGUUUGAUAGGAAUAGCAUUGAAUCUGUAAAUUGCUCUGGGAAGUAUGGCUAUUUUAACAAUAUUGAUUCUCCCUGUCCAUGACUGAAAUGUUUUUCCAUUUGUUUGUGUCACCUCUGAUUUCUUUGAGCAGUAUUUUGUAAUUCUCAUUGUAAAGAUCUUUCACCUUCCUUGUUAGCUGUAUUCCUAGGUAUUUUAUUCUUUUGUGGCUAUUGGGAAUGGAACUGUGUUCUUGAUCUGGCUCUCAGCUUGGAUGUUGUUGGUGUCUAGAAAUGCUACUGAUUUUUGUACAUUGAUUUUGUGUCCUGAAAUGUUGCUGAUGUUGUGUAUCAGAUCUAGGGGUCUUUGGGCAGUGACUAGGGGUUUUCUCAGUAUAGAAUCAUAUCUUUUGUGAAAUUAGGAGUUUGAUUUUUUCUCUUCUUAUUUGGAUGCCUUUUCUUUCUUUCUUUUGCCUCUUUGCUCUGGCUAGGACUUCCAGUGUUAUGUUGGAUAGGAAUGGUGAUGCUGGGCAUAUUUGUCUUGUUCUGGGUCAAGUCCAGUGCUUUCAGUUUUUGCCCAUUUAGUAUGAUCUUUGCUGUGGCUUUUUGAUAGAUGACUCUUUUUAUUUUGAGAUAUGUUCCUUUGAUGCCUAGUUUAUUGAGGGUUUUUAACAUGAAGAACGUUGAAUCUUAUUAAAACUAUUUUCUGCAGCUGUUGAGAUGAUCAUGUGAUUUUUACUUUUAGUUCUAUUUAUAUAAUGAAUCACAUUUAUUGGCUUGUAUAUGUUGAAUCAAACUUGCAUCCAUGUAAUAAAGCCUACUUGAUCAUGGUAGAUUAGUUUUUUAGUUUUGUGAUAUGCUGCUGAAUUUGGUUGGUAAGUAUUUUGUUGAGGAUUUUUGCAUCUAUUUUCAUCAGCAAUAUGGGCCUGAAGUUUUUGGGUUAUGUCUCUGCCAUGUUUUGGUAUCAGAAUUAUACUGGCAUCAUAGAAUGAGUUAAGGAGGAGUCUUCCCUCCUCAAUUAUUUGGAAUACUUUCAGUAGCAUUAGUACCAGCUCUUCUUUAUAUAUCUGGUAGAAUUCCGCUGUGAAUGUAUCUGGUCCAGGGCUUUUUCUGGUUGCUAGAUUUUUCAUUUAUUUAUUACUGAUUCAAUUUCAGAACUCAUUAUUGGUCUGGUCAUGGUUUCAAUUUCUUCCUGGUUCAAUCUUAAGAGGUUGUAUGUUUCCAGGAAUUUACUCAUUUUUUUCUACGUUUUCUAGUUUGUGUUCAUAGAGGUGUUUGAUAGUCUCUGAGGGUUUCUUGUAUUUCUGUGGGGUCAGUGGUAAUGUUCUCUUUGUCACUUCUGAUUUUGUUUAUUUGGAUCUUCUCUAUUAGUCAGCUACCAGUAUAUCAAUCUUACUUAUUCUUUAAAGAAGAAACUUUUGGUUUCAUUGAUCUUUUAUAUUAUAUUAUCUGUCUCCAUUUCAUUCAGUUCUGCUCUAAUUUUGGUUAUUUCUUUUCUUCAGAUAGCUUUGAGGUUGGUUUGCUCUUAUUUUUGUAGUUCCUCCAGGUGUGAUGUUAUAUUGUUAAUUUGAUAUCUUUCUAACUUUUUGAUUUGGUCUUUUAGUGCUGUAAACCUUCUUAACAUUGCUUUAGCUGUGUUCCGUAGAUGCUGGUAUGCUAUAUCUUUGUUUUUAGUAAUUUCAAAUAAUUUCUUGAUUUCUGCCUCGGUGUCACUAUUUACCCCAAAGUCAUUCAGGAGCAGAUUGCUUACUUUCCAUGGACUUCUAUGGUUCUGAGAGAUCUUCUUGAUACUGAUAUGUAUUUUUAUUGUGCUGUGGUCUGAAGGUGUGAUUGGUACGAUUUUGUUUUGUUUUUAAUUUGUUGAGAAUUGCUUUAUGGCCAAGCAUGUGGUUGAUUUUUAGAGUAUGUGCCAUGUACACAUGAGAAGAAUGUAUAUCCUGUUAUUUCUGGGUGAAGUGUUCUUUAAAUGUCUGUUAGAGCCAUUUCAUCAAGGGUCAAGCUUUGGUCCUGAAAAUGUUUGUUAGUUUUCUGCCUCAGUGAUCUAAUACUGGCAGUGGGGUGUUGAAGUCUCCCACUAUUAUUGUAUUGUUAUCUAAGUCUCUCGGUGGGUCUCCAAGAACUUAUUUUAUGAAUCUGGGUGCUCCAGUAUUGGCUGCAUAUAUAUCAAGAUAGUUAGGACUUAUUAUUGAAGUGAACCCUUUAUGCAAUUCCCUUCUUUGUACUUUUCUAUCAUUGUUGGUUUAAAGUCUGUUUUGUCUGAAAUAAGAAUAGCAACCAACCACUGCUCUUUUUUUGUUUCGGUUCGCCUGAUAGAUUUUUCUCCAUCUCUUUACUUUGAUCCUAUGAGUGUCAUUGCAUGUGAGAAGGGUCUCUUAAAGACAGCAUGCAUUUGGAUCUUGCUUCGUUAUCCCACUUACCAUUCUGUGCCUUUUAAGUGAUGGUGUUUAGCUCAUUUACAUUCAUGGUUAAUAUUGAUAUGUGCCAAUUUGAUCCCAUCAUCAUAUUGUUAGUUGGUUCUUAUGUAGACUUGAUUGUGUAGCAGUUUCUUAGGGUCAAUGGUCUAUGUACUCAAGUGUGUUUUUGUGGUGGCUGGGUAACAGUGUCCCAUUUCCAUGUUUAGCACUCCUUUAAGGAACUCUUAAAGGUAGAUCUGGUGUUAACCAAUUCCCUUAGCAUUUGCUUAUCUGAAAAGGAUUUCAUUUCUCUGCCUUACAACCUUAGUUUGACUUGAUAUGAAAUUCUUGGUAUAAUUUCUUUUGUUUAAGGUUGUUGAAUAUAGGCCUGCAUUUCUUCUGGUUUGUAGGGUUUCUGCUGAAAGAUCCACUGUUAAACUGAUGGGGUUCUCUUUGUAUGUGACCUGCUUCUUCUCUCUAGCUGCCUUUAAUCUUUUUUCUUUUACCUUAACCUUGGAGAAUCUGAUGAUUGUGUGUGUUGAGGAUGGCCAUCUUGCGUAGUAUCUCGCAAGGGUUCUCUGAAUUUUUUGAGUUUGAAUGUUGAUUUCUCUAGCAAGGUUGGGGAAAUUUUUGUGGACAGUAUUCUGAAAUAUGUUUUCCAGUUGCUUGUUCUCUUUCUCUUUCAGAGAUGUCAGUGAGUCAUAGGUUUGGUCUCCUUAUACAAUCUCAUAUUUCUUGGAGGUUUUGUUCAUUUUUCUUUAUUUUUGUCUGAGUUGAUUUGAAGAACUGGUCUUUGAGUUCUGAGAUUCUUUCCUCAGCUUUGUCUAUUCUGCUGUCAAUACUUUGGAUUGUAGUAUGUAAUUUUUGUAGUUUUUCAGGUCUUUUAGAUCAAUUUGGUUCUUUCUUUCUUCAUUUCUUUUCUUUCUUACCUUUCUUUCUUUCUUUGACAGAGUCUCACAAUGUUGCCAGGCUGGAGUGCAGUGGCGCAAUCUCGGCUCACCUCUGCCUCCAGGGUUCAAGCGAUUCUCAUGCAUCAGCCUCCCAAGUAGCUGAGAUUACAGGCAUGCACCACCACACCCAGCUAUUUUUUAUAUUUUUAGUAGAGACGGGGUUUCACCACAUUGGCCAGGAUGGUCUCGAUCUCCUGACCUCAAGUUCGCCUGCCUCGGCCUCCCAAAGUGCUGAGAUUACAGGUGUAAGCCACGGAGCCCAGCCUGGUUCUUUCUUAAAAUGUCUACUUGGUCUUUCAGCUCUUGUAUCACUUCACUGGAUUCCUUACAUUCCUUGGAUUAGGUUUCAACUUUCUCCUGCAUCUUGAUGAUCUUCCUUGCCAUCCAUUUUCUCAAUUCUUUGUCUGUCAUUUCAGCCAUCUCAUUCUGGCUAAAAGCAUUGCCGGGAAGCUAGUAUAGUCAUUUGGAGGUAA
rnacentral:lncRNA from 1 species